AACGCGUCCACGCCAGCCAGCACAGCACUGGAGACCCCCAUGAGCAUGUUCACUGCUGCUAUUAACCCAAUUAACAGUUUUAUGGAGGAAAUGUACAGAGAGGCUCUGAACACUGUGGAAGUCACCAAGGCAUUGCAAGACACCAAGAGAGAGGCCAGUAACAGCUAGAGGUAACACACAGUUCCCUUGUGGCAUGCUCUACUUUCUUUAACUCCCGUAAAAACAUGAACACCAGGUGCUCAUAUUUUCAAGCUUGACACAGAGAAAUGGAGAUGGGGAAUUUAAAUCACUUGAUUAAGAUCCCUCAAAGAAUGCAGAGUUGGGGCCAGGUAAAAAGCCAGAUCUCCUGGGCUUUUCAUUAUAUUUUUCUCAGAAUGCUUCAAAAAGGUUCUGGAAGUAGAGAAAGAGGAUCCCAGGGAAAUACUCUAUAAUAUUAGAACAGGAAGCAAUGGUAGCAUGAAAAUGCAUUUCAUGAACAUUUCAUCUUAGGUUUGGCUUGAUGUUUGAUGACAUUUGAUGUUUGAGAGCCAGAGACAAUCUAGUUGUUGAAAAUAAAAUAUCAACCCUUC